UCUAUUAUUUUGAAGAAAUCCUCCUGACAAUGUAGGGAGAGGUUAUUCUUCACUAUAGUGGCAUCAGAGGAAACUCUUAGGAGGAUUACGUUAUAUGAAUGAGUUUGAUAGGAGUCACCAUGGUGAGGAAAGGAUAAUGGAAUUUCAGGUCUGUGCUUGUCUGCAUUAAUUAAAUGUAGGUAGGUUUGUGAGGCCAGAUCAUCAUUACUUCUGUGUCCCUGAUUUAAAUCUGCAGUAAAACAUUUCUCCAUUUAGUUUGGUGCUUUUGUGUCAUAUUUCAUACACUAGUUGUCUCUUAAUUAAAUCCAUGAUAGCCCACCAACACAGACUAUUAAAAUAACUAUACUUUGCACUUGACAUAUUUAUGAGACAGAUUCAUAAGAGUAUAGACUGAUACUUGAACUACUCACUGAGAAAUGCUAAUAAGAUUAUGAUGAAGGUAAGAUUAGAACAUUCGUCUCCUUUUCACUUCUCUCUUCUUUAUAGGAAUUUAUUUUUAUAACCGCAAUUCACUAUUUCUAUUCCAGGCUCUUUGAUGUUGUUGUAUAUACCAACAGUUCUUUCUGAGUCGAUUUAUUGUAGCAAUGAAGAGUGGGAAACUGCUAAUUUAUAUCACACCAGCAAAGUGCAUAACUGUUGUGUUCCUUGAAGUAUGAAUGUUUGCAGAUGUGUGUAAACCUUCGCAUGGGACUGACAUGUUCAAGAUAAUACCAUUGGAUAUUACCUUUGGAUUUGGGUGAUGAACAAUAUGGAUGAUGGCGAAGUGCCACGUUGUUUUACUUUUAUUGUCUUACUCCUCAACCCUCCUGGUGGUGUAGAGCUGGCUGAGUCUGCUCCUGGACGAGGGAGGAGGCAGUGACAUUGUGCCUGUGACCCCUCAGUGCCUGUGCCUGUGACCCCUCAGUGCCUGUCUCUGUGCCUGUGACCCCUCAGUGCCUGUCUCUGUGCCCACCCCUCAGCUGUGGCAGAUGCAGUGGAGUGUCCUGAGCUGUGCAAGCUGCUCUGGGCAGCUGGACUGUCACUGCAGCGUUGGAAAUGGCCUGGCUGUAUGGCCUCAGUGGGUAAGGAAAACACAAACGCAAGCAAACCCACAAAUUAUAUCACUUGAAAGGCUGUUAGACAUGCUAAGAUUUUAUCAUUCACCUGUAUGGAUAUCUUGGAAUUGUCUUCUUAGCAUUAUUUACAGACAGAGUUGCUGAUAUAAUUUGUUUAUUUUCUUAGUAAUUUGGAUGGGGAAAGUUCAAGGAACUCCAUGUUUGAGAAAAAUAUUGCUAGAAGUGAAAGGGCUGCUAAAUGAAAAUCAUUGAGGAUUUAUAUAAUUUUUUUAGGACUGUGAUAUUCCCAUCUUAGGGACCUUUCCUCUCUAUUUUUUUUUCACAUUCUUUCAUGGAAGAGCUUCCGCUCAUCAUUGUGCUGGGGUCCAGGUGUGGGUACAAAUGGA